rnacentral:misc_RNA from 1 species
GAUGAAGAACGUAGCAAAAUGCGAUAAGUAAUGUGAAUUGCAGAAUUCAGUGAAUCAUCGAAUCUUUGAACGCACAUUGCGCCCGCUGGUAUUCCGGCGGGCAUGCCUGUUCGAGCGUCAUUUCAACCCUCAAGCCCCCGGGUUUGGUGUUGGGGAUCGGCUCUGCCCUUCUGGGCGGUGCCGCCCCCGAAAUACAUUGGCGGUCUCGCUGCAGCCUCCAUUGCGUAGUAGCUAACACCUCGCAACUGGAACGCGGCGCGGCCAUGCCGUAAAACCCCAACUUCUGAAUGUUGACCUCGGAUCAGGUAGGAAUACCCGCUGAACUUAAGCAUAUCAAAACGGAGGA